UACGUAGGGGGCUAGCGUUGUCCGGAAUUAUUGGGCGUAAAGCGCGCGCAGGCGGUCCUUUAAGUCUGAUGUGAAAGCCCACGGCUCAACCGUGGAGGGUCAUUGGAAACUGGGGGACUUGAGUGCAGAAGAGGAAAGCGGAAUUCCUGGUGUAGCGGUGAAAUGCGCAGAUAUCAGGAAGAACACCCGUGGCUAAGGCGGCUCUCUAGUACGGUACUGACGCUGAGACGCGAAAGCGUGGGGAGCGAACAGG
rnacentral:rRNA from 1 species